AGUAGACCUUGUAGUUUUUCACACAUCCAAUCAGAACAUGUAGUACAGGAAUGCCUUAUACGAAGCAUCCCAAAGGGGAGUCCCGCCAUUUUAGGUUCUUCUGGGUCAGCUGGCCUACCAGCUGUGGCCGGGUUUAGAGGAGAAGACGGAGUACCCACCCACACUGGAAGCUGGAGUCUGAGCAUCUUGCCUCGCUUCGGUGUUGCGGUUGGUGGCAGUGAGGAAGACUACAGCGCAGCCAGAAAGGAAAACGCUACAAGUGAAUAUCACCACACUCCUGUUGACAACCCAGAGGAGUAUACACGUGGCAGUGAGGAGGAGGAGGUGGCCUCUGACACGGAGAAGCCUGCGGCCCAGUAUCACCACCGUCCUGUUGAGGUCCUACAGGACCUCAUCAUAGAAGACAUUGAAGACGAUGAGAUUCCCCGUGAUGUGGAGAAGCCUGCGGCCCAGUAUCACCACCGUCCUGUUGAGGUCCUACAGGACCUCAUCAUAGAAGACAUAGAGGACGAUGAGAUUCCCCGUGAUGUGGAGAAGCCUGCGGCCCAGUAUCACCACCGUCCUGUUGAGGUCCUACAGGACCUCAUCAUAGAAGACAUUGAAGACGAUGAGAUUCCCCGUGAUGUGGACCCCGUGACAGCCCCAAAAGACAUCUGUAGUGCCGGUGUUCCAUCUGAAGUGUGACUCUGCUGAAUCAUCAUCCAUGGCUGGGACAUGAGGGACAUCAUCCACAGAUGGGCAUCAUCCACAGCUGGGGCAUCAUCCACGCCUGGGGCAUCAUCCACUGCUGGGGCAUCAUCCACAGAUGGGCAUCAUCCACUGCUGGGGCAUCAUCCACGCCUCUGGUAGCUCUGCAGGAAGGUUGCCCACCUCACACUUGCUUUCUCCAGGUUCCAGAGGCUCUCAUUUAAAGGAGCAUCUCUCCCCACUCUGCCUCACCCAACGCCAGCUCUCCUGUACCUACUGCUAAAUGCUUUCUUCCACCUUCACCUCAUUGGAUUCAUGACUCUGGAAAAUAGUCAAAAAUUAUAAAAAGGUGGGAGUGGGGGUGAUCUGGAAAUCCCUGCUAUAAUAUUUUUAAAGGAAUCUACUGGAAACUUUAUGUUUUAAAUAAAGCCAUCCCUUACUUGGCA
rnacentral:lncRNA from 13 species